CAAAGAAGUGUUGCUUUUAAGAAUGUGGGAGGAGGUAGUUUAGAUUACUUAGGGCUAAUCAUUAAUAUAUGAUUUAGUAAGUUCAUUGUUUAUUUUUUAUCCAACCAUACCUCCACCCCAGGUCCAUGAGGGCGGGGACUUUUGAUUGGUUUGCUGUUGCCUGUCAAGAGCUUUAAAAAUGCGAAAUAAAUAUUUACUCCGUGCACAAAUGACUGAAUCAGUCCAGCCCUCAGUGAUUCAUCUGUUUUCCCUCUUCCUUUUCCCAUAUCGGGUGUGCGAACCUCUGCUCACCAAGUACCAGUCGGGUCCUUCUCCUGCCCACGUGAAGGAAGAAGGCGCAGUGGGGCUGAGGCCUCACUAGGGCACCCACACGGAGCGCUGCGCUCAGCCUUCUGGACCCGGUACCUCCCCAGGCUCUGAGGACAGCAGCAGCCCCAGGACGGACGGAGUUCUUCGGGCUGGGAAGUCCAAGAUCAAGGCACUACCAUGUGAUGCAGGCAGAAGGUGGAAGGACAAAAGGGAAGAAACCUCAUGUCCCCACAUGGUGGAAAAGCAGAAGUGCAAGAGAGAACCAGGAUCUUACUUUGUCACCCAGGCUGGAAUGCAGUGGCCCAAU
rnacentral:lncRNA from 1 species